GGGUGACUCAGUUUGUAGAGCAUGAGACUCUUAAUAUCAGGGUUGUGGGUUCAUGCCCCAUGUUGGGCA